rnacentral:rRNA from 1 species
CCUACGGGGGGCAGCAGUGGGGAAUAUUGCGCAAUGGGCGAAAGCCUGAUGCAGCGACGCCGCGUGAGGGAUGAAGGUCCUCCGAUUGUUAACCUCCGUUAGCAGGGAAGAACGGUCACUGUGCUAUUCAGCAGUGAAUUGACGGUACCUGCAAAGUAAGCACCGGCUAACUCCGUGCCAGCAGCCGCGGUAAUACGGAGGGUGCGAGCGUUAAUCGGAAUUACUGGGCGUAAAGCGGUCGUAGGCGGUAUGGCAAGUCAAGGGUGAAAUCCCCGCGCUCAACGUGGGAACUGCCUUUGAAACUGGCAGACUGGAGUGUGUGAGAGGAUAGUGGAAUUCGAGGUGUAGGAGUGAAAUGCGUAGAUAUCGGGAGGAACAUCAGUGGCGAAGGCGAGUAUCUGGCACAUAACUGACGCUGAGGAGCGAAGGCGAGGGUAGCGAAAAGGAUUAGAUACCCCUGUAGUC